rnacentral:lncRNA from 1 species
UUCCAUUGUCCUCUCAGAACAGAAUGGACCAACUGAAAACAAGAAUAUAUAACUUCUGAUUUUCAGCACCAGCUGUAUUGAGGGAAAGAUGCCUGAACCAUGGGAUGCCUCACCAGCUAACAAGGCGUCACAGGGGGCAAUGAGGAAGUUUGCAAGACACCUUGAGUGCUACGUUGUAAUGGAAAGGCAUAGCAGAUACUACAAGCAGGUAGGAGAAAAGAUUAUAUGAUUUGUAUCAUGGCCCCACCAGAAGACUUCUCCAGUGAGGUCUGAGCAUUCUGAAUCCCUGCAGAAGAUCUGGCUGGCUGUGCAAACCUAGAGCUCCAUUCCUUACAGAGGCAGCAUAGUCACAUUAGGAAGAGAAGAAAAGGCUGAAACUCUUCCCUAUCUGUGACAACAAUACCAAAUGAAGGCAUAUCAUUUGUGCAAGCUUGUCAGGAGAAAGACCUUCCAUGUAGGCAAGGUGUUUCUUCUAGGGUGGAAUUCUUCUCCAAGAGAAAAUAGCUGCUCAAAUGCCUACAGAUGAACUCCGGGAGUGGUAGAAGCAGCCCAGAAAUAUAAUCAACAGACCUAGGACAAUGGGACUGGUGGAAACAACGUGUGUGAAGAACACAUGAUUUGGUAGAGGUAGUUGUUGUGCUAGCAUAUCAGGUAAAACAAAGAAAAAGAAAAAAUAGAGAAGAUGGAAAAUUUUGUGGCACUUUAAAGACUAACUACUAUAUUGUGUCAACUUUCCCCACAUCCUUUGGCUUUGCUUUUGAGUGGACUGAUGGCUCCUGAUCGAUCUUGAAAUGUGUUUCAUACAGGUUUUGGACUAUCCUUUUCUGGUUACUCCUUGAAAUUGACCUGUUUGGCAUUCUCAGUUGUUACUAAGGUGGACUUAUUGUCUGAACAAGAGAAGACCUUGCCUGAAAUUUCAGAGUGAGGAGCUCCCUCUACUCAGACCAAAGGUCACUUAUAAUUGCUGGUUGACCCUCUGUUAGACAAUCCUUAUCUGAUUUAUCUGCUUACCGUUUGGACUCAGGUUGUUCACUCCAACAGGCAUGGAGCUGUCGUGAUGGGGACACUUUGCCCCCUCCACCUGGAGAUUGGCGUCACAGCAUGAUGACACUGCUCUCAGGAAGGGGAGGAGGGACAGAACCUUUAAGGCACAGUAUCCCUGUUGCCCGGCCUCUUCUCCAAUCGACUGAGCAAGAAGGAAGCCGCGCUGCUCUGUCUGAGUAGUUUUG